AUAUUGCACAAUGGGGGACACCCUGAUGCAGCGACGCCGCGUGAGUGAAGAAUUAUUNNNGUAUGNACAGCUCUAUCAGCAGGNAAUNUAAUGACUUUACCUGAUUAAGAAGCCCCGGCUACUUACGUGCCAUCAGCCGCGGUAACACGUAGGGGGCAAGCGUUAUCCGGAUUUACUGGGUGUAAAGGGAGCGUAGGUGGUUCGGUAAGUCAGAUGUGAAAGCCCGGGGCUCAACCCCGGGACUGCAUUUGAAACUAUCGAACUAGAGUGUAGGAGAGGUAAGUGGAAUUCCUAGUGUAGCGGUGAAAUGCGUAGAUAUUAGGAGGAACACCAGUGGCGAAGGCGGCUUACUGGACUAUAACUGACACUGAGGCUCGAAAGCGUGGGGAGCAAACAGG
rnacentral:rRNA from 1 species